GUAUCAAGGUUUGCGUUGGUGAACCAUACGGAGGGAUCAUUAAAAGAGUUCGAUACUCAAAACCCACUGCGUACAUACAUGUUGUUGCUUCGGCAGGCGGCUUUCAGAGCCUUCAGCCCCCCGCGGGCGCCUGCCGGAGACCCAAAACUCUUCUGUUUUUAUACCGUGCUCUUCUGAGUUUGUUACAAAUACAAGUAAAAACUUUCAACAACGGAUCUCUUGGUUCUGGCAUCGAUGAAGA
rnacentral:misc_RNA from 1 species